rnacentral:rRNA from 1 species
UACGGAGGGGGCUAGCGUUGUUCGGAAUUACUGGGCGUAAAGCGCACGUAGGCGGUCUUUUAAGUCGGGGGUGAAAUCCUGGAGCUCAACUCCAGAACUGCCUUCGAUACUGGAAGACUCGAGUCCGGGAGAGGUGAGUGGAACUGCGAGUGUAGAGGUGAAAUUCGUAGAUAUUCGCAAGAACACCAGUGGCGAAGGCGGCUCACUGGCCCGGUACUGACGCUGAGGUGCGAAAGCGUGGGGAGCAAACAGGG